UGUAGAAGGAGAGUCGGUUGCUUUAGUAGUCUAGAAGUAGCAGUCUUGCCUGUUUCAUGGUAUGUGUUCCUUGUGGAGGACGGGUGUCGUGGUUUGUCUGUUCUGAGGGAAUGAAGGGGUUUUGUACCACACUAAAACCUUACAGUCUUAUCUGGCUGGUAUGCAAAUUUGCCAUUAAUUGUGCAGCUGUUCCAUCUCCAGACGAAAUAAAAGCAAACCUUUGGGUUUCUUCCGUGAAAAAGGCGGAGUUAGUAACAUUUUCUUCUGUCUUUUUGUUAAAACAAACAAACUGCUGCACCCCAAAUUUACCCUGUGCCUGCUUACUGAGAAGGAAGGCCCACUCUGGUAAAUGGGAGCUACUCCCAAGUAAAUUAGCAAUUGGAAGGCAGCCUCAGUCAGCCUGUUGCCUAGGAAAAGCUUUGCAUGUAUAUAUUCUUUUAAGUUACUAGCAGGUCUCUCCUCAACUCCAAAAUUCUUAGUCAGUUGCCUGGGCUAGUAUCUGCUUGGCAGCAUUUUAGCAUGUUUUUUCAUACACUAGUGAAUGCAAACUCACCCACCCCCCAAUCAUAGGAGUGGAGCAACCCAUUCCAUGUGCAAACCACCCUUUUGCUCUUUGGGGAGUUAUUUGGAAGUUUAUUUUCUUAACAAUGAGCGGGAGUAGCUUAUUUUUUGUUAUUUAGUAACAUCGCCCCCCCCCCAUUGUUGUAGGUCUCCGUGGACGUGGCUAACAAAUCUUCCUUUUCUGCUCCUGUGCCAAGGUCUUGGUUUGAGGGGAAAGCAGUCCGAGGCUUUAUUCUUUCUGGGAGACACCAGUAGCAGUGGUCUUCGUGGGAAACAGAAGAUAACUAAGGUAAGGUAAGGUGGUAGUGCACAUCUUAGUUGCCCUGCCUAGUACUGCCAUACUUGUUUUAGACCUUUAAAAUUUAGCACCUAAUCUUUAAAAUGCACUAGUUCCAUCCUCUACAAUACACUUCUGUAUUUUCACCUCACUGAUUUGUUAUGUGAUAUCUGGUGCAUUAAAGGCCUCUUUCACAUGGUAUUCCACCAUUAUUUCACACAGUAGAAGGUGUGGUAGUGGAGAGAGUUUCUUAAAUGAGUCUGGUGUAUAUUUCCUCUGCUUCUGUUACCUACUGCUUAAGCCUUUAUCUCCAGUCCUAAUCGUUGUUUACUGAUUGUUGCUAUGUAGCUGCAAAAUGCAGGAAUUCAGUAAAUGCUCUGAAUUACUUUCAAGCAUUCUAUUUUGGGAACUUCUAAGAGGCCCUAGUUUCUGUAAGGCCAAGAGUCAACUACUUGCCUUUGUCUUUGGGUGCAGUUGCCUUUAAUAAUGUCAUUUAUUUGUUUGUUUGUUUAUAAUGUAAUAAUUUAUUACAUACAUGGUGCCUAUCACUAUAUUAGGCCUCACAAUAAAAUUAUGAGAGGGAUGGCCCAAUUUGUAGGCUUACAAGAUAGUGGUCCACCAUUUAGCCAUACCUGUUAGAUCAUGGUAUUCUAGUGCGGAUCAGCGGAGGAGAAAAAAAGAGAUGGAUGAGGGGAAGGAAUGGGAACAAGGCAAAGAGAAAUUCCACUUUAAGUAGUAGUGUGUGUGCAGGGAAGUAAUAAGAAUCAGAGGUGUUUAAUAUGCAGUGCGUCUUUCUUUCAAAGAUUAAAUACAAUUUAGUAACUGCUUGUGGAGAUGCAAUAGAAGGCUGGAAAUUGCUUUCAGACAGAACUUGGUGUUCAAAUUUUGCUUUGAAAUUGGGUCGUAGCUUGUACCCCAUGUUGAGAUAAGAAAGGCAUAUUCACCUAGGUUAAAUUGCUAUGGGGAUUUUUUGUCUUUGACUUUAGGUAUGUAACUUGACUUAAUAGAUUGCUCAGUCUAGAGUAUUUAGUGAUUGGUUUGGUUUAGUCAGGAAUAGCCUUGUUAUCAGGUCUUUUGCUUCCUGCUUCCUGUAUGUGGAAUUUUGAGUUGCAACUAUUAAGGAUCUAUAGCAAAACUGUAUUUUAAUUGGUGAAAUGUAGAAGGAGAUGUAAUAGACUUUAUGCACAAUCUAAUAUGUGCACAAAAAGUUUGUGUAUAGGCUUACCUAUGUGAGCAGAGAGCCUGCUUUCUGUAAGACUUCUUGAAUGCAUGUAGGCUGAAAGAGGACCAGCGAACAGGAUUCUGAUCUAAAGUAACUGCCGAUGUCAUGUCACAGCCCCACUGUCCUAUCUGCAGUGGCUGCUAGAUUUUUUUUACAUGCAGCAUAGUACAGAGGUACCUCGGGUUAAGUCCUUAAUUCGUUCCGGAGGUCCAUUCUUAACCUGAAACUGUUCUUAACCUGAAGCACCACUUUAGCUAAUGGGGCCUCCUGCUGCUGGAGCACGAAUUCUGUUCUCAUCCUGAAGCAAAGUUCUUAACCCGAGGUAAUAUUUCUAGGUUAGCGGAGUCUGUAACCUGAAGCGUAUGUAACCCGAGGUACCACUGUAUCUGCUUAUGAGAUACCAUUUACCAUAUUGCUCUAAUUUAUUAAGAAAUAUCAGAGUUGGAGACACUAAGUAAUGUAGGAGAUUUCCAGAGGUUUCAAAUGUCUUCUGAAUAACACAAGCCUUUCCAUAUUUAUUAAAAGAAAUAUGGUUACAUCUUCAUCAUAAUUUCCUAAGAUAAAACGCCUGUGACUUGCAUCCAGAGAUGUGCUGGUGUAUUGAUGGUGCUUCUGGUCACCCCCUAGCAGUUCCCUGAAAAGCCUCUCCUGGGAACCUCCUGAAUUGGGUGGGCUGAGGGGGAAUGCACGGGGUAAGGAGGAAUCACUGAAAAUCAGGCAGAGGCAACUUCCAUAUGCAUUUGCUUGAUUUUUUGAAAGGUUUUUCAUGCCUGAUAACUAACUAACUAACACUCUCUCUCUAUAUAUAUAACACAACCCAAGUAAGGAGAGUUAACUUAUAAGAGGAUAAAAAUAAGAUGAAAUUAUUUACACUGAUAUGAAUGCAUUCUGACAAAAAGUUAACAUGUAUUGAUCCCUUGAAAUGACAUGCUAGUACUAACACACUAAGGUUAAAUCUGACACAAGGUCGGGGUACCUUUUCAGCUGCAUUCCCUGAUGGGCAAGCUUCCAGGAGUUGCAUGUCAGUGGUGGGCAGUAGGGCCAGAACCAAAGGUGGGUUGAGAAAUGGAUUUGACUAGUCAUGGAGAAGACAGAGGUCCCAGGCAAGCAAAGUGCAUCAUUACAUUUCAAAGACACAUUCUAGGUAGGCCGAAGCACUUGAGGAGUAUGCAGAGGCAAGACUGGAAUGGACGUGACGAGUCUCCAAGGCUGGAUAAAAGAUGUUGUAUUUGGCCUGUGGGCUGGAGGUUCCCACCCCUGCUCAGACAGAAAUCAGUGGGAUAAGGCCAUUUUCACAAUAAUGUUUAAAUGUCCACUGGAUUUCAGCCAAGAUAGUACAGUAUACAUGGUAGGGAACAUCCUUGUUUGUAUCAUAAUCUCUUUAAAUGACAUAGUAUAUGCCGUCAUUGUACAUGGCAUUGUACUAACGAAGGAGGGCACAGCCUUUGACUAAAGGAUCCUUAUUCUUUCAGUCAGACAUAGACAAUAGAUUUCAGACACAUGAAAUAUCAGAACAAAUUCUAAGCUCUGCUUAAUGAAAAGCAAGUGUAUAGUACUGCUUGUAUCAAACCGUGGUUGUGACCAUGCCUCCUGUACUGUACUAUACAUGAAUUAAUUUUCAGUAACAUACAUAAAAUAGGCCAGUCAUUCCAUCCACAUUGUAUUUAUUUUACAAAGAUUGUAAUUCGGCAACCAUCAGGUUAAAAAAUAUCCAUGGAAUAUCAUUGCUGGUCAAGGCUUUCCAAACCACUGAAAAAUGGUUGCAAACCACUGAAACACUAUUGUCCAGCAGUGAUAGGAAGGUGGUACAAUAGGUAUGUUUGCUGUUUAGAUGGCAAGAUAGAUAAUCUACUAUCGUCUUUUCUGGCAUUGUGCUUAGAUAGUGGGCAGUUUUAAUUGAACAUCAGGCUUAAUUAUAUUAAGUUUAACCUUUCCAUUACUAUUAGCAGCUUUAUUACUACUUACAUUAGGUAGUUUGCAUGCAUAGUAAUGUACAAAAGAAGCUGUAAAAAGUUAAAAAUAAAAAUGGAUAAUUGCAAUGGAUUAGCUAAUGGUGCAGUCUAGUAGAGUUUUAUGACACUGAUAAAAUGAUUAUGGAAACAGAAGAAUUAAAAGGAAAGUUACAUUUAUUAAGCAUUCCAGUGUUUGCCUCUAAGAUAGAAUAAUAAAGAAGCAGUUUUGUUAGAAUUCUUAAUAUAACAAUUUACAUUUUUAUGUCUCCGGUCCUACCAGUUUUGCAAGUUUAGGAGCUUUGGAACACAGCAAGAUGUCUUCUACUGAGUCAGAUCAGUUCAGUUUGGUGCACACCAGAAGUGGGGAACUUGUGGGACACUAGAUGUUUUGGACUGCAACCCAUUUGCCCCAGCCAGCAUGGUCAGUGGUUAGAGAAAUGGGAAUUGUAGUUGAACGACAGGUUCCCCAUCCCUGGUCUUCACUGAUUGAAAGUAUGGAGUGCUGCACCCAAACAGUAAGCUUUCCUGACCCUUCCUGACAUGCUGCAGAUUGAACCUGGUACAUUCUGCAUGUAAAACUCUACUGCUGAACUCUGGCCCUUUCGCAGGCUCUUCCAAGCUCUCCCCCACCCCCCGGUGAGAUUUCAAAAAAAAUCCCUCAUCCGAUGAAAGCUAUCUGUGUGGUAGGCAUAUAAAACAUUGCUGUACUCUUAACAGAAAACUAUCUGGUGCAAAAGACACACAGAGAAACAAAAAGAAGCCAAUAGGCUCAUGUUCCGUAGACAUCACCAUUGGCCAGACAAAUGCUUCUUAUUUUGUGUUAUUAUUUUUAAUUGUAAAGCACCUUGAAUGCAUUGGCAGAAAGGUGGUAUAUAAAUUUAGCUUGUUAUAAAGGAUAAUAACUGGCAUUAGUUGUACCCUCUCUGAGUAAACAUACUGAAAUCAAUAUGUCUGUGAACCGCCCUGAGACCUGCAGUUAUUGGACAGUAUACGGAUUCAAUAAGUAAUAUAAUAAUACUCCAAUUAUGACUUAGUUGACUAUAACCCAGAAUAAAUGAAUUCAUUCGUUAACAGAGCACUAAUACUCAUUCCCAUAAUGAGUGUGGCUAUUUUGGGUCCUGCUUGGAUAGUGCUCAUGACAGCACUAGUACCAAAUAAACUACUUAAGUUAGUCACAUCUAGAGAAGGAGACAUCUCAAGCUAUACACUUGUGUGUCAACCUGUUUAAAGAUUUGUGGCCAUGCCAAUAUAAAUGCUGCCUUCUGCUGUGCUCGUCAUAGUUCUUCUAACUGGAAUAGAAGCAGCAGCUAUAAAUAUUGCAUAUGCUGAUAAUGAUUGACAAGUUGAUAUCUUUUUAUAGGCAGUGACACAGUUUUGGAGAUAAGAAGAUUCAGAGAUUUGGGCAGCAACAUUUAAGAGCUCAGCAGAGAAAGGAUUAAAGGUUUAACUUUAAACAUAAGCUAGAAACAGCUCGAGAAUAAGGCUUUGUGUGAAUAAUUUUAUUAGAGACUAUUCAGAAAAAUUAUAUUUUAGGUAAGACUCGUGCUUUGCAUUGUAGUUGGCUUUUCACCUUUGCUUUUUAAACAUUGGCAGUAUUUCCUCAGUAAGUAGGUAAGUCUUGCUACUUUGCUGGCCAUAACUGCUGCGGACUUCAACACAGUGUAGAAUUGCACUCAAAACCUGGGUAUUGAAUUGUUGAGACCAGUGUCCCCAGACAUGGAAGUAAGCCACCUGUGACAGACACCCUCACUGAAGGAUGGGUGCUGGGUAACGUGAUCCAUAGUUUGGGUGUUUUGCCAGUAAAGCUUCUCUUGCAUUACACAGUAGCGACCUAUAACUAACUAAUUGUGGUAGCAUUUAAGAUUUCACAGCAGCAAGGUGUACUUAUGUGAAGUCUCCUUGGUGUCUACUCACUCCCCACCUAGAAGUUUAAGGAGGCACUCUGGAACAAUCUGUAUGUGUAUAUAAUUACACACUGUGAGGGUUUCAACACAUGGUGGUAUCACAAGUGAGGCACAAAAGUUAAUUAACACAAUCAAUUUGCAGAGAAACUUUUAAGCAGCAUUCUUUAUCAUGCCAAGUCUUUGCUAGACUUUUGGUGCCUUCAAGAAUUUAACUUCCCCUCAGGGAAUCAAAAUGGUUUUCCCCACACAGAUAGUUCAACCCUGUCUGAUCGUUAAACUGCCAGCAUCUAACUUAAAUUGCCCCUCUCCUGAUUAGCUGAUGGUCUCAGCAGCUCUAACUGGUUUGCCGGGUCACAAGGAGGAAGGCCCAUGGCCUGUCCAUCACACCACCUACACAUUUCUGAUGAAAAGAGGUCUCUGUCCCCCAAGUCACGAUGAUGAAACUGUGAAUUCCUUAAGCCUAAUCCAGUAGGCCAACAUUUAGAGAAGCUCCUCAAGCAGUGGAGCUAUAUCGCUGGGCUACACAAAAAGUGAAGCAAUUGCUUGAGUGAACAAGAGCGAAGCUGCCUUCCUUCUAUGUACCCUGUAUAUAAACCCUCUUCCCAAGUCCUAAUCUGUAUAUGGAAUGCUCCACUCUCCCUAGGAGUUUUAAUGGAAAAGUUAAGUGGGUAGAUUAUUCCGUAGAAUUCAAGAGACUGAUUUUAAUCCUGUCUAAUGCUGGGUCUAUGCACACAGAAACACAAUGGCAAAUACUGAAGACAGGCAUGUCACUUUUAUUUAGUUAAUGACAUGUCAGCACAGCAGUUAAGUUUUCCCCCCAGACAUGCUGUAGCGUAUAGCCAAAAGCAAGGAAAGCACUCUUAGAAGAGACAGGUACCUUUUAGCUAGGAAAGCAAACGCCAUGCUAAUGACAAGAAGUCAGGAGUGGAGAUUGUUCAUUGCACACCACAUCCAAUAGUUUCAUAAAUGGAGCAGGAAUAACUAUGGGCAGAAGCCCAGCAUGCUGAGACUCCAGGAGUUGUGUACAACAUGAUCCCUGAAACAGAUGUCAUGCAGACCAGUUACUGCAGAACACUUGCAGGAUAUUAAAGAUUAAUUACUUAAUUUGAUAAACUGCUGCUCAGACACAGCACUCAUAAAAACCACAGCACCAAGCUCUAGGCACUGUUGCACCAACACUUAUUUUUCUACCCCUGAUGUGAUAUAGCUGCAAGACAGUGUAUCUCUACAGGAACAGAGGCAGUCUGCCCUCACAACUGCCCCUUACACAGCAUCCUAGUCCUGCUAGGGCAUACCUUGGUAUAUGACAUCAAUGCAGCCCUCCGAUUCCUUUCAGCUGUAGUAACAGGUUAGUCUGGGAAGCAGAAAAGAUUUGGACACUGCUUGUUUCAAGACCUUGCAGGCUGCUCUGAUUGCAGCAAAACAAGUAGCUAUUUACACUACUACAGCUAAAACAAGCCUCUGCCACAAAUUGUGACAUUGUGGUGACAACUGAAUAUGAAUCUUAACAGUCACAUAGCCAGCAAUCACAUGUCAUAUUUGUUUACACUGAAACAUCAUAUAAGACUUUGGGCUAAAGAUGAAAAUGUGUCAUUCUGCUUCUGAAGAGGGUAUUUCUAAAAGUGAAAUAGGUCAGUGUAGGAAAAUAUCAGAAUCUGUUGCAGCUUCCAUUACGAUCUUGCCUUAAGGUUUUCUUGACCCUGGAUAUUGUUAUGGAUGAAAUGCUUAAUGCUAGAAGAAAUUGGACCAGACUGUGACAACUGUCUCCUAUACAAGGGCAAAGAUAAGUAGCAGAUGCCUAUACAUAGAUACCAGACACUUGCACUUGUAAUUUCUUCACAAUAGUGAGAAAUUAUGUUCCAGAACUGCUAGUUUAAACCAUACAUCUUUUAGGAAGCCAUUGGAAGUAAAUGCACAGGUUUUCACCGAAGGAAUUGAAAAGACUUGUAAGGCAUUUUCUUGCUUAACAACAAAACUAUUUCCCUCUCUGAUCUUCAUGGAAUAUGUGGAUCAAUCUGCUAUGUCUAUCAAUCUGAGAUAUCUAAGGGAAAGAAUCCUCUACAUGGCUUUGUUGUGAAUUUUUGUUUUAAAGAUUCAGACAUUAAAUCUACUGAGAAUGAAUUCACCACAAAUGGUUGCAUUUUCUCAUUGAUUUGCCAAUAUUGACUUCUGUAGAACUACAAGAUUAUGUUUUUAUCUCCAGAAACCUUUAGUCAUUACUUUACUUUACUUUAAUUCAGAUCAAACUGUUCAAAGCAGAAACAUAGCCCAAUGGAAUAAUCUGCAGCCCAAACAAGUAAGUUACAAGCUUCUCCAAAGGCACCUUGAUUUAAUUUGCCUAAUUGUACAUAUUAGGCCAGACCACUAAAAUAAUUGGCUCAAGUACACCUUGAGUUCUAUCAAUUAUUCAUUACACAACUCUUGUUUACCAAUAAAUGUUAUUUUCGUAAAGAUCAGCAGUUGUUUGAACAAUAAGAGGCACAGCCCUCAAGUCACAUAUUAAGAAAUCUGUCUUCGGAGUUCUACUUACUUUUUAUGGUAAUACAUCACAAUAAAUAAUUUAAUAAGUAAAAAGGUAAAGGACCCCUGGACCAUUAAGUCCAGUCAAAGGCAACUAUGGGAUGUGGCGCUCAUCUCACUUUCAGGCUGAGGGAGCUGACGUUUGUCCACAGACAGCUUUCCAGGUCAUGUGGCAAGCAUGGCUAAACCGCUUCUGGUGCAACGGGGCACUGUGACAAGUGCCAGAGUGCACAGAAUGGGUGUUUUACCUUCUCGUCACAGCAGUACCUAUGGUAUGCUUUCAAACUGCUAGGUUAGCAGAAGAUGGGACAGAGCAAUGGGAGCACAUCCCAUCUGUGAGCCAGCAAGCAGUAAGUGGCCAGACAGCACACCAGGUGUUGGGAUGAAAUCAGGCCAAAUCUUUAUUGACUGCAGCAGGCAGAGUAGGUGUUCGCAUGGCAGUAGGGCCAGGGUCAGUUCAUCAUCCUACUCAUUCCCUGCUGGCAGAAUGGGAUCCAUUGGGGUUGGGCCGUAACAAACGCGUUCCGUGGGAGUUGCCCAUUGUUGAAUGCUGCAGUGGAGCAAGCAAAGCUGGCAAGGUCUCACUGGGUGACCGGGAUGAAGAUUCCAGCCAGGCAGAGAGCCCAGCCCAAAUUUGGGGCAAGCCAUGGUCAGUUUUUCUCUCAGGCUCCUUAUGGGGGUCCUCCUUCACUAUGAUGAUCCUGCCCAAUGCCACUUCUGACCUUAACACAAAGUUAUCCUGUCCAGCAAAAGGUAGCCAUAAAUUUCACUGGGGGAAGGGUGAAAAAAACCACACCAAAGACCUGUUGGGUUGAAAGAAGAAACUCUGGUCCUGUCAACCGUCAAGUGACCCAGGUUACUCAUUGGAGGCUCUCACCUGAGGGUGGGUGGGUGAGAAGCUUGUGGGACAAAGUGGCCCCAAACUCUCAAGGGGGGGGGUCCUUACAAAGGAUUCUCCUCCCCCUCUCCUUUGGCCCCACAGGAACCAACAUUUGGGUGGAAAUCCACCCCAUUUGCUGCUUGGUGGGCCACACAGUGCCAGGCAAAUUUUCUCCACAUGAAUUGUUCCCAUAACAAGGCUUAUUACAAUAACUAUCCCAAGAAGGACCAUAUAGCAGCUGUCUUUCAUGCAGAAGGUUCCAGGCUAAAUCCUUGGUAUAUCUUGGUAGGAUUGGCAAUGUCUCUUAUCUGAAACCCUGGAAAGUUGCUGGCAAUUAGAGAAAGUAGAUAAGGCAUGCUUGGAACAAGAUCAGAAAAAUCUUAAGCAAGUCAAAUAUAUGCUGUAUAAUAAUUCAAUGUGCCAAUGAGAUUGGAGCAGAUGACUCGCACAGCCUCCUCCAUCAGCACUAAAAAUUGUUUGAAAUGUUUCUGGUAGUGUAGCUCAGCAUUGCUGGGAACUAUAAUACCACUAAUAUUAUAGCUGCUUAUUUUCAAACUCUAGUCAUACCAUAUUAUUCUGCACAUGGAAAGCUAAUACCUUGGAGGAAAGGGUAGGCAAAAUUAGAUACUUGGCUGUGGUAGUUUUCUACACACAGGGAACUUUUGAAAUUGAGGUAUAUUCAGACAUUGUAGGAGUUGUGUGAUUUGAUUCUUGGCAGGACAUAGUAUAACUUGAGAAGUUACCAAGGAGAAGAAUAGCCUGUAAGUUAUGGUCACAAAAAUGAAUACUGAUCAAGAUACAGGAAAAUGCAUUCCAGUAAGAUCCCCCGCCCCUGAGGAAUUUAGUCUUACUACUGAAUUACAUUGUGAUGCAGGAAGCUAGUGUUAACACUUCUGAGAAAAUCUUAAAACCUCACUUAAAGUUUACUGGCCUUUGUAUCUGCCCCCUCCCCAUUACUGGAACGGGUUACUUCCGGGUUUCGGCGCUCACGCAUGCGCAGAAACACAAAAUGACGUCACACGCAUGUGCAGAAGUGCCAAAUUAAGUCACACACGUUCGCAGACACGGCGCUGUGGGUUGCGAACGAUGUGGGUUGCGAACUUGCCUCCCUCAUGGAUCAUGUUCGCAACCCGAGGUAUGACUGUGUGUGUUUGUGUGUGUAUAUAUAUAUAUAAUCUCAUCGGUCCUUAUUGCCUAGAAAUGGAAAGUAGUGCUGAUGGGUUCAUAAUUAUUCAGAUUAUAUAAAUGACAUUGUUGUUUUUCUUACUGUAAAAUUUGUGUUGUCCACAUAUCUGUGUCAUUCACCGCUAUUGUUUUUCAUGCUGGUAUUGGUACUGACCCUGCAGUUCAUUGCUAUCACAUGUUGCAGUACUUGGCUCUGCAUGGGUUGAAAAUAUUCCCAGCAUCAACAGGAGACACAGCCCAAGGCUAGACUUGGACGUGUUAUCAUAAUGGCGUCUCCUGCUGUAACACAGUUAGGAGAGAUAUCUGAAGGGACUGCUGUUAACUGCUUGGUAAUCACUAACAUGCUGAAGCAAUCCUCACACUAAAUAGAUGCUUUGUAGGGCUUAUGGGUGGGGGUGAAAUUAAAUACUUCAUUGGCUGAGGAUUCAGUUGCAGUGUUGCCUACACAGCUUUAGCUGACAUGAUUAUACUUUUCACUAACAUGCUGAGGUGGGGGGGAAUGAAGAAGUUAGUUAGACACUGAACCAGAGUUCAUAAUGUUGCCAAAGGACAUUAUUUAUUAUUGGGUGAAAUCGCUGGAGAAUAGUCUGUUAUCAUAAUAUGGUGCUCAUCCUUUGAUGCCAUGUUAUUGUAACAUAAUGAAAACUGUUUACCGUUAGUUAAUGGAAUGUGCUUUUUGAAUUGAAUUAGAAUUGAGAGUUCAGUCACUUUGACUUCAUAUGAUUUCAGCAGGCUCUUUGUAUGAUGACUAAACAAUUGCAUUUUUCCCCUUCAGCAACAACAGACGGUGAAUAGUCUGGUAAAUAAGACAGAAUACAGCUGGUUUCAUUAGCAAGUGUCAAGAUCAGUAUCUAUUUUUCUUUCUUUUGUUAUGCAGCUAUAUUUUACUUGUGAUGGGGAAAAAUUGUUUCUGGGAGAGACAUUACCAUAAAGGAACUCAGCAAUUAAUAGCCAUUAUAUAUCUCUGUAUACAAUUCAGCAUUAAAACUGUUCCAGCUGCCAAGAUACAAACCUAAAUGACUCUUAUAUUUUCAAGGGUAUGUAAACUAUAAUGCACAAAUCUAGGUUCACAAUGGGCGGGGAGGGAAAUUUGAAAGAUACAGGCUCUCCUGAAUGGAUACAGGUGGAGUUUUUAUUUACCCCUAUUUUUGGUACAGUAUAAGAGUUUUCCUCAUAUGCAAUUCCUUUCAGAAGAGAGGUGUUCUCGUUCUCUCUGUGUGUAGCAUCCUGGAAAAGGAUGUUCUCCACUACCAAUCAGAGAGCAACCCUGGGUGUAAAAUAUGCUGCAUGGUAAGACUUAGAGGCACCUCGAGAGAAUGGCAUAUAGCCAUGUAAUGCUUCAAUAGCCAGUGAUCGCAAAUCUCAAUAUAAAAAGAUUGUUUAAACCACAAAGUGGUGGUAGGAGACAUCAGACUAGAACAUUGGCCCUGAUAGGCAUUCUACUUAUCUCCUAAUAAACCUUCAACGAUGAGAAUAUGAUAAGAAAAACAAUUUUUGAUUUGCAUCUAAAAUUCAUUGAAGGGUUUAUUUUUGUAAUUGCUUUGCCCUUACUGUCAAACCUGAACUUUGCUACCAUUUUGAGCCACAGUGGACACCUCCCACUGCGAUGCAUGUUUAUAGUUGAAUCUUCACAUAUCCUUUACUAUAGUACAGUGGUACCUUGGGUUAAGAACUUAAUUCGUUCUGGAGGUCCGUUCUUAACCUGAAACUGUUCUUAACCUGAGGUACAACUUUAGCUAAUGGGGCCUCCCGCUGCCACUGUGCCGCCGCCACACAAUUUCUGUUCUCAUCCUGAAGCAGAGUUCUUAACCCGAGAUACGAUUUUUCUGGGUUAGUGGAGUCUGUAACCUGAAGCGUCUGUAACUUGAAGCAUAUGUAACCCAAGGUACCACUGUAAAAAGAAAUGGAAAUGUAUUUUAAGGGUUCGUCUGGGGUACCUAUGGGCAUACAUGUGCCUGGUGCCCUUGGGAGUACCUGAGCCCACUGAAACAAAAAUUGGACUUAUGAAGCUCUUCCCCUGCUCCCUGAUUGGACACCCUGUGUUCCAUCCUCAAUUCUAGCCAUUUACCUAACUGCCUGCUGCACCUGUGACCUAUGUACCUUUUAACCCAACUUAUGUAUCACAGCAUUUGGCAAAAACUGUGUUGAGAUUUUGAGUACUGUCUCUACCUGUGGUAGCUGGGGCAUAAUGCAGAUUCUUGUUAUUGCACCUUGGUUGGUUUUCUUGCAGGCCAUGUGAAGUAACAGAAUAAUAGAAUCAUAGAAGUCCAACCUCUUGUAAGGCAGGAAUAUGCAGCUGUCCCUUACUGAGAUUGAACCUGCACUAUGCUCUAGCCAACUGAACUAUAAGACACACUUAAGAACACUGUUGGGAGAAUAUAACAUGAAACAAGUAUCUCCUAGGAAAGGGGCCCCCAGUCUUUUGGGGCCUAUGGAAAAUGUGGAAUUAUAAGUUAGUGAACAAAACAUGCUUAACUGGAAAAUUUAGCAAGGCCAUAUAGGAACACUUGGCUGAACCACUUUGCCCUUCACCUUGUUUGAGCACCUAGCGCUAUAAUAUUUUCUUGAAGUUAUAUAGUUUUCUAACCCAUCUGAUCAUAUUUUUGUGUCUUCAGUCUUGAACAGACAUCUAUUGUUCCUUUUUCUGGCCACAUGCUUCAAUUCUCAUUUAUUUUCCUUCAUGUAUUGAAGGAACCUGCAACAUCAAUUUGAAUAGGGCAGGGAGUUCUAGCUGAAAUGUAUUAACUUUUGUUAUUUUGACAUCCAGGCAGUUUCCGCCCCCCAGCUUACAGCAGAGAAAUUGAAGGGUGGGUAAAGGAAAGUCAACAAGAUGAAUAGCACAGAAGGAAAUUCAUGCCGAAAUUGUAUUAGAAUUAGAUAGCUAAAGCAAUGUAACUAGGCUGGUGAAGAUAAUAUGCCCAGUUCUGUAUGAUAGAUAUGCAAUUUGCUAAGUCAGAAUGUAAAUAUCUUGCCCAGAUAGAAAAGUUUUGCUUGAGUAAACCACAGAUUUAAUAUGGCGUAACUGAGGCUCAAAUGUGGAGCUCAGCUUUUGAGGAAAUAUUUCGAAUGGGCUAUAUAGCUAGCUGCCUGUUGUCUGUGUGUCUGCUUAGGGCUAACUUCACUUCAGAGGUGACUGCCUUUUGUUCUCUUCCCUUGGAGAAGGGGCACAUUGAAAACAGGGGUCAAAGAAGGCAUUGACUUAUGUCUGGACUGCUGAAACCUUGCCUUUAUUUCAUGUCUGUUGCUUCACAGACCAGUUUUGACCAUGUCCCAGGUUACUGCCUGAAGUCUAGUCCUUCUGCAGUCCUUGCCUGGGGUGUGUGGUUUGUGUGUUGUUGGCCCUGGCAGGAUUAAGCUCAGGCAUUGGCACCAACUCCAGCAGUGGCAGGAGCAAAGCGAGCACAGCCCAGGGUGAGGCCCCCUGGCCUGAACAGAGGGAGGCAGGUGAGUGAUCAGGCGCCUUACCUGUGCUCUCACACAGUGGCGGAGAAGGAGGCUGGAAUGGCUUAGCACAAUCAUUUUUUCUGGGCCCCUUAGGGUUGGAGCCUAUGAGUCCAGGACUCCUGUGUCCUGGAAUGCUGCUCCCUCCCCCUCCCCAGGCUUACAGGAAAAGCCUGGAGAUCAUACACCACACUUCUUGCAAUCAGUAAAUGCUGUUGCUUUAAAAUCAGUAAUACACAGGACCUUCAGAGCAUAUACUUCUGGCUUAAGGAAGAUCUGAAGUCAGGGAAGCUGUUUGUAAUGAAGGCCACCAUCUCAAGU